rnacentral:rRNA from 1 species
CCUGGCGGCAAUAGCGCGGUGGUCCCACCUGACCCCAUGCCGAACUCAGAAGUGAAACGCCGUAGCGC